UACAGAGGGUGCGAGCGUUGUUCGGAAUUAUUGGGCGUAAAGGGCGCGUAGGCGGCGCCACAAGUCACCUGUGAAAACUCUGGGCUCAACCCAGAGCCUGCAGGCGAAACUGUGGUGCUGGAGUAUGGGAGAGGUGCGUGGAAUUCCCGGUGUAGCGGUGAAAUGCGUAGAUAUCAGGAAGAACACCCGUGGCGAAGGCGGUUCUCUGGGACGGUACUGACGCUGAGACGCGAAAGCGUGGGGAGCGAACAGG
rnacentral:rRNA from 1 species